rnacentral:rRNA from 1 species
CCUACGGGUGGCUGCAGUGAGGAAUAUUGGUCAAUGGACGAGAGUCUGAACCAGCCACGUCGCGUGAAGGAUGACUGCUCUAUGGGUUGUAACCUUCUUUUAUAUGGGAAUAAAAUGUUCCACGUGUGGGAUUUUGUAUGUAUCAUAUGAAUCAGGAACGGCUAACUCCGUGCCAGCAGCCGCGGUAAUACGGAGGAUCCGAGCGUUAUCCGGAUUUAUUGGGUUUAAAGGGAGCGUAGGUGGAUUGUUAAGUCAGUUGUGAAAGUUUGCGGCUAAACCGUAAAAUUGCAGUUGAAACUGGCAGUCUUGAGUACAGGAGAGGUAGGCGGAAUUCGUGGUGUAGCGGUGAAAUGCUUAGAGAUCACGAAGAACUCCGAUUGCGAAGGCAGCUCACUGGACUGCAACUGACACUGAGGCUCGAAAGUGUGGGUAUCAAACAGGAUUAGAUACCCUAGUAGUC